UGGUCCUCUGCUUUCUGUCUCCCUCUCUGCAACCAAAUCUCUCUUUCAUUCUUCACCCCCAGUAAAGGAUCGUCAUGGAGGCCGUUCUUACCGAUAAUGGGAACUGCUCGGGAUCCCAAUCGAGAGAUGAUCCCCAUGGAUCCUCUGCUUUGAUAUUCUCGGGAACUGCUUGUUCGUUCAUGGUUCCAAAUGCAUUGUGCUUGAUUCAACCCACUGAUUCGCCUUACAGUGCAUACAGGCGACACGGUCCCUCCUUAGUGUAACCCCAAUUACAGGUGAUGCCUGGAGAGGGUUAUAUUUCCUUGGGUUUUCCUUUUGGUGAUAAAUCUAGAGUCGCUUAUGUAUCCAAUGUCCCAUGAUUUCCUUCAAGCACUGAUUAUGUUUUUCAAAGUUUGGAGCUGGACAGGUGGAUCUCUUAGCAGAGAUACUCUAACGGUGA